AUGGAGUUGGAAGACAGUGAGAGGUGGAAGGUAAUCCAAGGGGUGUGGGUGGAAAUGCUGUGCUAUUCCGCCAGCAAAUGCAGGGGCUACCUGCACGCCAAGAGCCUGGGUGAAGGUGGUGAGUACCUCACCACUGUUUGGCUCCACUGGUCAUUAAUGGGGAUGGAGACCUUGGCCGAUAGGCUUCAAAGGCCAGAGCCUCUGCUAGAAGACGAUGAAGAAGUACAAGAACAAGAAGGGAGGGAAAUAGGAGUAGUAGAAGAAGAAGAUGAUGAUGAAGAAGAAAAUGGACGCUCAUUGUCUUCCUCCCAAUCCAUAGUCGGAGGGGAUCAAUCUGGAGCUGUUCGCCUGGUCGUAGUGAAUAUGCUAAGAAUGUGGAGAUAUAUAUGCAUGCUUGGGAGUGGGAGGGGGUAUAAAGAAGGAAUUGCUGCUGGUGAAGUACCAGCAGAAGAACCUGAGAAAUUAUUGUCUCUCUAUUCUAUUUGCUGUUGGAAUACCCGUGUCUGCAUUACCAGUCUGCUGUUGGAUUCUGAUUUGCAGCUGUAUCGCUAUUGCGCAGAGCUUAACGGACCACAUCUGCUGUUAACUGCCAGUUCAGCUCAGGGGAAAUGGACAUAUCUGUACAACGGUCACCCCGUGUUAUACUUAUACAUGACGUUCUUGGGUGUGGUACCUUGUGAAGAUUACGAUAGCCAGCCACACCUUGUUAGUGCAUUACUGCUAUCUAAAUGUCGGGAUUUUGUUGUUGCAAUUUUGCUGUGUCAGAAAGCAGAGCGUUCAACGAUGCCACCAAGUUUGGAGAUUCCUUGCACUUGGAGAAAUUUAUAUCAGACACAUAGGAUGGGGACAGUGGCGGACCUAGGAUCUCAGCUAGCUGUAAGGAGGAACCAUCAGCUAGGAUGGGGCUCGAAGAUGCCGUUCGACGAGAACGUCCUCAUCUGGUACGUCGCCACAGACCUCUGUUUUUAUCACCCCAACACAUCCUCUCAAGGCCGCGAAGGACAAGCCACGAAACGCAGCCGGGAGAUGUCCAACUAUAUGAUUUACCUACUUCUCAUUCGUCCUGUGAUACAAAUGUUUUGCACCAGAACGGAUUUAUUCUCCUUGGCCAGUGAUUUUCUUUUUUGGAAAGCAGCAAGGGACCGCUCGACUCAGAAGAAAUUCUUGCACAGGAGAUUCUUAACAUGUCGAUGCAACUCACUGCAACUGAUGCAUUCAGACGCGCACACACUCAAACUGAUAUGGUUUCCAAUGCAUGCGAACUCACCCAAGAACUCACCCAAGAAAUAG
rnacentral:rRNA from 1 species